rnacentral:rRNA from 1 species
CUCAGGACGAACGCUGGCGGCGUGCCUAAUACAUGCAAGUCGAACGGUCUUUCUAUGGAAGCUUGCUUCCACUGAGAAGAUAGUGGCGAACGGGUGAGUAACACGUGGGUAACCUGCCCAUAAGAGGGGGGAUAACAUCCGGAAACGGGUGCUAAUACCGCAUAGUUUUCUUGAUCGCAUGAUCGGGAAAGGAAAGACGGCCUUUGUGCUGUCGCUUAUGGAUGGACCCGCGGCGUAUUAGUUAGUUGGUGAGGUAACGGCUCACCAAGACGAUGAUACGUAGCCGACCUGAGAGGGUGAUCGGCCACAUUGGGACUGAGACACGGCCCAAACUCCUACGGGAGGCAGCAGUAGGGAAUCUUCCGCAAUGGACGAAAGUCUGACGGAGCAACGCCGCGUGAGUGAAGAAAGGUUUUCGGAUCGUAAAACUCUGUUGUCAGAGAAGAACAAGUUGGAGAGUAACUGCUCCAGCCUUGACGGUAUCUGACCAGAAAGCCACGGCUAACUACGUGCCAGCAGCGGC